rnacentral:rRNA from 1 species
GCCGUCCAGCCGGCCUCGGUCGCCUCGUCCACCUGAAUCAGGCGGCCACCUUCCGAGGCGCGAUAGCGGGUCUCUUGAACGCGCCCAUGCGCCGUGUCGAGCUCGAUCUUGGGUAGGUCGAGCUCCCAGCCCAUCGCGAGGCCGCCGCGCACAGGGUUCUUGGACGAAUAGCUCAGUGAGAGCUGCGGUAUGUGACCAUUGCGGUUCGGCGCAGUAGGAAUCGGAAUGCUGAUCGAGGCCGCGCCUGUGG